GGAGUUAGCCGGUGCUUCUUCUGCGAGUAACGUCACAGAUGUAAGGUAUUAACUUACACCCUUUCCUCCUCGCUGAAAGUGCUUUACAACCCGAAGGCCUUCUUCACACACGCGGCAUGGCUGCAUCAGGGUUUCCCCCAUUGUGCAAUAUUCCCCACUGCUGCCUCCCGUAGGAGUCUGGGCCGUGUCUCAGUCCCAGUGUGGCUGAUCAUCCUCUCAGACCAGCUAGGGAUCGUCGCCUAGGUGAGCCUUUACCUCACCUACUAGCUAAUCCCACCUGGGCUUAUCCAUCAGCGCAAGGCCCGAAGGUCCCCUGCUUUCCCCCGUAGGGCGUAUGCGGUAUUAGCAGUCGUUUCCAACUGUUAUCCCCCACAAAUGGGCAAAUUCCCAGGCAUUACCUCACCCGUCCGCCGCUCGUCAUCUUCAAAAGCAAGCUUUUGAAAUGUUACCGCUCGACUUGCAUGUGUUAGGCCUGCCGCCAGCGUUCAAUCUGAACCAGAUCAAAUUCUGA
rnacentral:rRNA from 1 species